UACAGAGACCUCAAGCGUUAUCCGGAAUCAUUGGGCGUAAAGCGUGCCGAUAGGUGGUUUGGUUAGUCUUGGGUGAAAUCCCGAAGCUCAACUUCGGGUUUGCUUAAGAUACUGCCAGACUAGAGGGGCAAAGAGGAGACUGGAACGAACGGUGUAGUAGUGAAAUGCGUUGAUAUCGUUCGGAACACCGAAAGCGAAGGCAGGUCUCUGGGUGCCUC
rnacentral:rRNA from 1 species